rnacentral:rRNA from 1 species
UACGGAGGGUGCAAACGUUGCUCGGAAUCAUUGGGCGUAAAGCGCACGUAGGCGGGUCAUCAAGUCGGAUGUGAAACCCCUCGGCUUAACCGAGGACGUGCAUUCGAAACUGAUGGUCUUGAGUACGAAAGAGGAUCGCGGAAUUCCCGGUGUAGAGGUGAAAUUCGUAGAUAUCGGGAGGAACACCAGUGGCGAAGGCGGCGAUCUGGGUCGAUACUGACGCUGAGGUGCGAAAGCGUGGGGAGCAAACAGG